UACUCAAGAGGGGGCAAUCAUG
rnacentral:miRNA from 1 species